UCAGCGGACAGAUGGGAGCUUGCUCCCUGAUGUUAGCGGCGGACGGGUGAGUAACACGUGGGUAACCUGCCUGUAAGACUGGGAUAACUCCGGGAAACCGGGGCUAAUACCGGAUGGUUGUUUGAACCGCAUGGUUCAGACAUAAAAGGUGGCUUCGGCUACCACUUACAGAUGGACCCGCGGCGCAUUAGCUAGUUGGUGAGGUAACGGCUCACCAAGGCGACGAUGCGUAGCCGACCUGAGAGGGUGAUCGGCCACACUGGGACUGAGACACGGCCCAGACUCCUACGGGAGGCAGCAGUAGGGAAUCUUCCGCAAUGGACGAAAGUCUGACGGAGCAACGCCGCGUGAGUGAUGAAGGUUUUCGGAUCGUAAAGCUCUGUUGUUAGGGAAGAACAAGUGCCGUUCAAAUAGGGCGGCACCUUGACGGUACCUAACCAGAAAGCCACGGCUAACUACGUGCCAGCAGCCGCGGUAAUACGUAGGUGGCAAGCGUUGUCCGGAAUUAUUGGGCGUAAAGGGCUCGCAGGCGGUUUCUUAAGUCUGAUGUGAAAGCCCCCGGCUCAACCGGGGAGGGUCAUUGGAAACUGGGGAACUUGAGUGCAGAAGAGGAGAGUGGAAUUCCACGUGUAGCGGUGAAAUGCGUAGAGAUGUGGAGGAACACCAGUGGCGAAGGCGACUCUCUGGUCUGUAACUGACGCUGAGGAGCGAAAGCGUGGGGAGCGAACAGGAUUAGAUACCCUGGUAGUCCACGCCGUAAACGAUGAGUGCUAAGUGUUAGGGGGUUUCCGCCCCUUAGUGCUGCAGCUAACGCAUUAAGCACUCCGCCUGGGGAGUACGGUCGCAAGACUGAAACUCAAAGGAAUUGACGGGGGCCCGCACAAGCGGUGGAGCAUGUGGUUUAAUUCGAAGCAACGCGAAGAACCUUACCAGGUCUUGACAUCCUCUGACAAUCCUAGAGAUAGGACGUCCCCUUCGGGGGCAGAGUGACAGGUGGUGCAUGGUUGUCGUCAGCUCGUGUCGUGAGAUGUUGGGUUAAGUCCCGCAACGAGCGCAACCCUUGAUCUUAGUUGCCAGCAUUCAGUUGGGCACUCUAAGGUGACUGCCGGUGACAAACCGGAGGAAGGUGGGGAUGACGUCAAAUCAUCAUGCCCCUUAUGACCUGGGCUA
rnacentral:rRNA from 1 species